rnacentral:lncRNA from 1 species
GCCAGUCUGAGUCCCAAAACUGAAGAACUUGGAGGCCAAUGUUCCAGGGCAGGAAGCAUCCAGCACAGGAAAAAGAUGUAGGCUGGGAGGCUAAGGCUAAGCCUGUCUCUCCUUUUCACGUUUUUCUGCCUGCUUUAUAUUUUCUGGCAGCUGAUUAGAUUGUGCCCACCAGAUGAAGGGUGGAUCUGCCUUCCCCAGUCCACUGACUCAAAUGUUAAUCUCUUUUGGCAACAUCCUCACAGGCCCACCCAGGGUUAAUACUUUGUGUCCUUCAAUCUAAUCAAGUUGACACUCAGUAUUAACCAUCACACAUAUGUUGUAGUUUUGCAAAAUGUGACAGCAAGGGAAAAUAUAGCUAUUUAAAGAAACACAGUAAUGCUAUCAUUUAGAAAAUAAACUGAUUGGAGUCCCUGGAUCAUAGCUUGGCUUCAACUCUCUCAAGUUUACAAGAGCGUUGUCUGGGAAAAUUAAUCAACAAGGUUAGAAAUGAGUUCUGGGAAACUUGGCUCACUAUAGUCCAGGAACCAGGCCGAACUACAGCAUGGGCCAGGUACUGAAUAAAUGGCAGGAAUAUAGUUAGGGCAGUAGGUGGCUCUAAAUUUUCUCUUUUUGUUUCCCUGGUGUAUGUCACAGCAGUUUUCUGUGGGGUGAAGUGAGUAUCCUCAACCAAGGAGCUGGGCAUGGAGAAAAUGAGAGGAACCUCAUUAAUACAUGGCAAGGAUGACUUAUUCUGGCUUUCUGUCCUGGUUGAAAAGAUGAGACUGCAGAGAUUUUUAUGAAGAUACUCCCAGUUUGUCUGUCUUUUGAGUCACACUGCUCCAUUAUGGCCAUUUACCUUUUACAUGUGGUACACAACCAGUGUUCUAGGAUUUUUGUUCAUAGUUCUCCUGGUAACGAUCCAUUUAUUUCUCCCUGUGCUGGACCUCCUGUUGCUUGUGUCUCGUGUUUUUCUCUUUAUUUUCUCACGUACUGGUGGCACAUAUUCUCCAUUGACUAUUUGAGAAAGGGUUUGUGGUAGUUAGAAUUUUUUUUUAGUGCUUGCAUGUAAGAAAGUUUUUUUAUCCACAGGCUGAUUGAUAGCUUGGCUGAAUACGAACAGGACCUCUAGGUUAGAAAUAUCUUUCCUUUCGAAUCUUGAAAACAUUGCUUCACUGCCUUCAAAUAUUUAAUCAGUUUUCCACCAAAUUUACAAUAGAAUUAUCAUUUUAUCCUGUAAUUUUUUUGUUUGUUUGUAGGUGUUACAGUUCGAGUGCCUCAAACAACCACAUAUGUUGUAAACAAUGGACUAACCCUGGGAUCAACAGGACCUCAGCUCACAGUGCAUCACCGACCACCACAAGUGCAUACUUGUGACCUGUUUCUUCAGGAGCCCCCACGCCCCGUGCACCCAGCACCCUUACCAGAAGCUCCACAACCACAGCGUCUGCCCCCAGAAGCUGCCAGCACAUCUCUGCCUCAGAAGCCACACUUGAAGUUAGCACGCGUUCAGAGUCAAAAUGGCAUAGUACUGUCAUGGAGUGUCCUGGAGGUGGAUCGAAGCUGUGCCACUGUUGAUAGCUACCAUCUCUAUGCUUACCAUGAGGAACCCAGUGCCACUGUGCCCUCACAAUGGAAAAAGAUUGGGGAAGUCAAGGCACUUCCCUUGCCCAUGGCAUGUACUCUCACCCAGUUUGUAUCUGGUAGCAAAUACUACUUUGCAGUACGAGCCAAGGAUAUUUAUGGACGUUUUGGGCCUUUCUGUGAUCCUCAGUCAACAGAUGUGAUCUCUUCUACCCAGAGCAGUUAAACCUUGGAGCCUUUAUAUUUUCCUCUUUUAAAAUUUCCACCUUUUGGUCUUGUUUUUAAUCUUGUGCAUGAUACCCCAUGUAAAAUCCACCUUGUGCAAGAUUUCUUGGACAGAUGUGUGUAUACACUACAUUUGUUUAUAACCAGAAGCAAAAUAAACUCAGCCCACAAAGCU